rnacentral:rRNA from 1 species
GUUAAAAAGCUCGUAGUUGGAUUUCGGAGUGGGCCAGUUGGUCCGCCGCAAGGUGUGUUACUGACUGGUUUGCUCUUCUGCGCAAAGACUGCGUGUGCUCUUUGUUGAGUGUGCGUAGGAUUUACGUCGUUUACUUUGAAAAAAUUAGAGUGUUCAAAGCAGGCUAUUGCUUGAAUACAUGAGCAUGGAAUAAUGGAAUAGGACUUUGGUCCCAUUUUGUUGGUUUCUAGGACCGAAGUAAUGAUUAAGAGGGACAAUUGGGGGCAUCCGUAUUUCGUUGUCAGAGGUGUAAUUCAUGGAUUUGCGAAAGACGAACAACUGCGAAAGCACUUGCCAAGAGUGUUUUCAUUAAUCAAGAACGAAAGUUAGAGGAUCGAAGACGAUCAGAUACCGUCCUAGUUCUAACCAU